UACAGAGGUCUCAAGUGUUGUUCGGAAUCACUGGGCGUAAAGGGUGCGUAGGCGGUGGAGUAAGUCGGGUGUGAAAUUUGAGGGCUCAACCUUCAACUAGCACCUGAUACUGCUUCGCUCGAGGCCUGAAGAGGAGCUUGGAAUUCUCGGUGUAGCAGUGAAAUGCGUAGAUUUCGAGAAGAACGCUCGCAGCGAAAGCGAAGCUCUGGUCAGGUUCUGACGCUGAGGCACGAAGGCUAGGGGAGCAAACGGG
rnacentral:rRNA from 1 species